AUUUUAAUAUAGUCUGGCCUGCUCUAUGUUUGUAAUUAAUGGCCGCGGUAUUUUGACCGUGCGAAGGUAGCAUAAUCAUUAGUCUAUUAAAUGUGGUCUGGAAUGAAAGGUCUAACAGGGGGUGGCUUUCUUUAUUUUAUUUUUGAAAUUGAAUUGUUAGUAAGAAUGCUGACAUUCUGCAGAUGGACGAGAAGACCCUAUAGAGCUUUAUAUACAUAUUGAUUUUGUUAGUUAUAUUUGUCAAUUAUUAUAUUUUAUUGGGGCGAUAACAAGUAAUAAACAUUUGUAUUUAUGUCUUUUUAAAAGGUUGAAAUGAUCCAUUAUUAAUGAUUAUAGUCUAAGUUACCUUAGGGAUAACAGCGUAAUUUUAUCUUAGAGUUCUUAUCGACGAUAAAGAUUGCGACCUCGAUGUUGGAUUAGAAUUCCUUUUUGACGCAGUAGUUUGAAAAGGUGGUCUGUUCGACUAUUAAAAUUCUACAUGAUCUGAU
rnacentral:rRNA from 1 species